GGUGCCCUGCAUUCUGUGUUUUUGAAGGGAGCAGGGCAAGCACUCCAAUUUAUGUAAUGACAUUGUCAAAUUUGGCUCCACUCAUCACUCAGACAGAGAGGAGAAGGAAUCGAUUUUUGGACCUGAGGUGCUGUCGUAAAGGCCUGUCCCAGUGUAGGGACAGGCUUCCUGGGACCAGAGCAGCCUCAGUGCCUCCCCCAGAGCAGCGCCACACCCCCGCACCCCAUUAGUCCCCCAGCGCCCCCAGUCCCCUUAACCCCCUCAUCGUCCCCUUAGAGCAUUGCGGAGAUUCCCAGGGCAGCCGGCAGAGGGCGCCCGCAUGCCUCCAGCCAGCGGGGCUGUUUGCUCCCGUGCUCAGCAGCCUUAGGGGUAGGCGGCGCGCCAUGACGUCAUCUGACGCUGGGUUUCAGGGCAGGAAGGGUUUGUGCCGCCAGCUGAGGACCCUCAGACCCUCAGACCCUCAGGGCUGCGUUUACAGCAAGUUCUGACGCUGCCCCGGAGAGACCCUCGGGACUUUGCAGCAGCUUGGUGCCUCCUGUGGUGCGAUGGCUGGAGUGCCCUUGUGGGCUGAGAGCUGAGGAGGGGGCUCUGGGCGGCUUCCCGAGACAGGCUGAUGCAGGCUUGUUUCUGGGGAGAAAUCCGGACUCGAAUUAAGAGGAACGGGAGCAGCAUGUGGUUGUGAGUGAAAACCCCAAAUGCUGACUCUCGGGGCGCCCUAGAAGAAUGCACUUGGGACCCAUUGCCGAUUACUGCUGGAAUCAGAGCCCCAGGGAAGGUGAAUGGGAACAGCUGAGUCCUGCCUUCAGAUAACUGGGAAGAAGAAAGAAUUUCAUAUGGGCUACCAGGAACGUGGGCAGAUGAAAGCCCUACUGCACAUUGUGCUCCACUUGCCGGAAGCAGCUGUCGCUCCCAGGAACAGAACGCAAGAGACGCAGGAACAGCCACAGCAGCCAGAGCUCCCCUCAGACAGCACCUUCUGAGAGCGGGAG